AUUGAACGCUGGCGGCAUGCUUUACACAUGCAAGUCGAACGGCAGCGCGGGCUUCGGCCUGGCGGCGAGUGGCGAACGGGUGAGUAAUGCAUCGGAACGUGCCCAGUAGUGGGGGAUAGCCCGGCGAAAGCCGGAUUAAUACCGCAUACGACCUGAGGGUGAAAGCGGGGGACCGAAGGGCCUCGCGCUAUUGGAGCGGCCGAUGUCGGAUUAGCUAGUUGGUGGGGUAAAGGCUUACCAAGGCGACGAUCCGUAGCUGGUCUGAGAGGACGACCAGCCACACUGGGACUGAGACACGGCCCAGACUCCUACGGGAGGCAGCAGUGGGGAAUUUUAGACAAUGGGGGCAACCCUGAUCCAGCCAUGCCGCGUGCGGGAAGAAGGCCUUCGGGUUGUAAACCGCUUUUGUUCGGGAAGAAAUCCUCUGGGCUAAUACCCCGGGGGGAUGACGGUACCGGAAGAAUAAGCACCGGCUAACUACGUG
rnacentral:rRNA from 1 species